UACGUAGGGUGCAAGCGUUUGUCCGGAAUUAUUGGGCGUAAAGAGCUCGUAGGCGGUUUGUCGCGUCUGCUGUGAAAACCCGAGGCUCAACCUCGGGCCUGCAGUGGGUACGGGCAGACUAGAGUGCGGUAGGGGAGAUUGGAAUUCCUGGUGUAGCGGUGGAAUGCGCAGAUAUCAGGAGGAACACCAAUGGCGAAGGCAGAUCUCUGGGCCGUAACUGACGCUGAGGAGCGAAAGCAUGGGGAGCGAACAGG
rnacentral:rRNA from 1 species